rnacentral:rRNA from 1 species
GGUGUAGGUGACUGGUACUAAUAGGCCGAGGACUUACCAACAAAGAAGCUACGCGUCCACUGUGCAGUAUCUGAAACAACACACGUAUCCCGUGUGACAGUUUCAUAGAGUUACGGCGGCCAUAGCGGCAGGGAAACGCCCGGUCCCAUUCCGAACCCGGAAGCUAAGCCUGCCAGCGCCGAUGGUACUGCACUCGACAGGGUGUGGGAGAGUAGGACACCGCCGGAA